rnacentral:lncRNA from 1 species
CCGCGAGGAUCUGCGUGCCUGGCUUUGAUGCGGGGAUGCCCUUCGUAUGAUUAGACUGGAACUAAGUAGCCUGGAACAAACACCCUAAUCAGGGAGCAGGGAGCUCACGGAUGUCAGGAGAACAGGGCACGGUUUUCCACGGGAUGUGCCAAAACCAUGGUCAAAGGAAGUCAGCGAAGGCAAACUGUUUCUCACUUGGAGCUUGCCUCACUGUGAUGGCUCAUGAGGGACUCCCAAGAAGGCAGCCAACUCUGUGCAGUCCAUUCUGCAGGCCUGGAGUGCUGUUGGAUGAUCCUGAUGUCAAAGUAGGAGGUCCCUGUGGGAGGCGAGUGUGAAGGAAGUCAUCUGGGGUGGGUAAGUGGGUUUGCUAAUCAGGUUUGAAAGUGGAGAGAAGGGUGAGGGUGUAUCAGGGACCUUUUAAAAAUUUAUACCCGGU